UAUCAGACUUGUUACAAGGGUGUUCCAUAUACAGUCAUAUGAUAUAACAAUAUUGUUACAACCUAAUGUGUCAUCAAACUUGUAACAUUCUUGUUAUAUCAUGACUGUAUCGGACUUGCUAGAACAACCUUGUAACAAGUCUGAUA